AUUGAACGCUGGCGGCAUGCCUUACACAUGCAAGUCGAACGACGCCAGGGGGCAACUCCUGGCGAGUGGCAAACGGGUGAGUAAUACAUCGGAAUGUAUCCCGUCGUGGGGGACAACCAGUCGAAAGACUGGCUAAUACCGCAUGAGAUCGAAAGAUGAAAGCGGGGGAUCCGCAAGGACCUCGCGCGAUGGGAGCAGCCGAUGUCGGAUUAGCUAGUUGGCGGGGUAAAAGCCCACCAAGGCGACGAUCCGUAGCUGGUUUGAGAGAACGACCAGCCACACUGGGACUGAGACACGGCCCAGACUCCUACGGGAGGCAGCAGUGGGGAAUUUUGGACAAUGGGCGCAAGCCUGAUCCAGCAAUGCCGCGUGCAGGAAGAAGGCCUCGGUUGUAACGUAGCUUUGUUCUAGGGAAGAAAGUACUUCUGGGCGUAAUACCCCGGGACGGGACGUGACGGUACCGUCGAAGAAUAAGACACCGGCCGUAACUACGUGCCAGCAGCCGCGGUA
rnacentral:rRNA from 1 species